GCCGUAGCCUACUGGUUAGCGCUUCGGACUUGUAACCGGAGGGUUGCCGGUUCGAACCCCGACCAGUAGGCA
rnacentral:tRNA from 1 species